UACAGAGGGUGCGAGCGUUACUCGGAAUUACUGGGCGUAAAGCGUGCGUAGACGGCUAUCUAAGUCGGGUGUGAAAGCCCCGGGCUCAACCUGGGAAUUGCAUUCGAGACUGAAUAGCUAGGGUACGGUAGAGGGAAGCGGAAUUUCCGGUGUAGCGGUGAAAUGCGUAGAUAUCGGAAGGAACAUCAGUGGCGAAAGCGGCUUCCUGGACCAGUACCGACGUUCAGGCACGAAAGCGUGGGGAGCAAACAGG
rnacentral:rRNA from 1 species